rnacentral:tmRNA from 2 species
GGGUCCGCCAUGGUUUCGACGGGGGUUACAAAGCGGAUGGGGGCAUGCCGGGUUCUCAGUUACCCGUAAAACACUGAACCAAGAUAGUCGCAAACGACGAAACUUACGCCCUAGCCGCUUAAUCGCGCUAGGCUCUGCGCCACUUCUCCUCUCGGGUGGACCUGGCAACAGGUAGCAGAGUCAUUUAGAGAGGAUCGCGCUGCGUAGGGUCACUUUACGUAGUGUCAAAAAUAGGUGACUCGCUGGAGACAAGCCUGCCCGUCGGCUCGUCAAAGGUUAAAUCCAGUAGACACGGCUAAGCAUGUAGAACUCUUCGUAGAGGGCUUCCGGACGCGGGUUCGACUCCCGCCGGAUCCACCA